CUGCGUUAACCACUCCAGUCAACAGAUGGCGAUAUGCGUUUUUUAGGCGAUGCUAUCAGAGUGACGUAUAAUGUAGUGGACGGGACGCUUCUUCAACAACAUCUCGUCAGCCACCUCGGUAGCUUCCUAGUGGAAACGUUCAAGCUGUUCAGACUGUAUUUGGAACAUAAUUCUGUCUUUUAACUAGUUUCCCCAUUUCAUGUCAUAUUUCCGUUUCGUCAGGUAACGGUAGCUGGCUUGAUAAAUGAGCCUAUCACUAGUCUAGUCGCUAACUAGCUAGGUUAGCUGGCUAACAUCCCCGACCAUGAGCUCAGCAAGCUGCUGCCCUCCUGCUAAAAAAGAGGUCUGCUGGAAGGAGAAAGAAGGUAUUUGGCUGAACGUUGUCGUGAAAGAGGAGAAUGAAGAGGAGGAUGUCACAGUAAACGAAGAAGUCGAGGGUGAGGCUGUUACACAGAAAGAAGAGGAAGAAAACGAUUAUACUUUUUUUGGAGUGAAUGAAGGAGAGAUAACUGUCAUAUUGAAGGAGGAGGAGAGGGAAGAAGAGAAGGAGACAGAAGAUCUGAGUAACACCAGAGAGAGACCAGACUCUCCUUCUGACAGCAGGAAGAGUCCUUCAGGGAAACCAGACCCCGAGACGUCCAAACCAGCAGGACGACAUCACUGCUCCCAGUGUGGGAAGAGUUUUACUCAGUCAGGGAGCCUGAGAACACAUAAGAGAAUACACACUGGAGAGAAGCCUUACCACUGUUCCCAAUGUGGAAUGUCGUUUACCCAGUUAGGGAGCCUGCAAACGCAUGAGAGGGGACACACAGGGGAAAAGCUUUUCCAAUGUUCCCAUUGUGGAAAGAGUUUUGGCCAGGUAGGAAACCUGAACAAGCAUGAGAGGACACACACAGGUAAGAAGAUGUACCGCUGCUCCCAGUGUGGAGAGAGAUUUACCCGGUUAAGGUACCUGAAAGAGCAUGAAAGAAUACAUACAAAUACACAGGAGGAGAAGACAUACCACUGCUCUCAUUGUGGAAAGACAUUUUCCCAGUCAGAGAACCUGAAAACACAUGAGAGAAUCGAGAGGCUGUGUUCUGACUUGUGUUUCUGACUGAGAAUGUGUGUGUUUGUUUGGGCUGUCAGACUUGAGUUCACUUUGUAUAAUGUUAGUGCACUAUUUUUAAUUGUGAUUAAUCCAUUGUCUGAAAGGGUUGAAAACACACUGAAAACAUCCAAAAUACAUACUAUAUACAGCUAAAAUCUACAAUGCCAUGUAAACACAAGAUGACAUUGAGGUUAAAUAAAGUGUGCUUUAUCAAUGGAACAUA